GGCAUAUCAUUCCGAUUCCAUUUCUGAGUCAAGUUCGUCCAGUCUGUGCGCAAAAAACAUUUUGGUGGGAAAAUUUAAAAAUAUUUACUAACGCGCUGAUCUUGGGCAUCAAUGGUGCAUAUAGAGGAAUCGAGUUGACUAAUAUCACUAUUAACAGACACAUAGUGACAUUCAAAAUGCGAGACACCAAAACUAAGACUGCCAAAUCAUUUGUGAUUCGGGAUGAAAUUAUGAAUAUUUUUAAAAACAACUCAAAAUAUAUUGUUUUGGCCGCUAACACUAUCAUAACAGCCAAGUCUCGUGAAGAUCUACACGACGCCUCGUCAGCAUCACACCAGCAACAUCAAUCACCUUACACAGAUCAACAGCCAGGCUCCCGUGACCCUCCAGUUUACAUUAAGCAUUGUAGUCCUGAUGAGAAAAUCAAAAUUGAUACCCACCCAAAAUCUUCCAGCACACGUUCACUGCCAUGUGAUAUUUAUCAUUAUUAUAUUAUCAUUAUAUUAUUAUUAUCAACCACCAUUAUACACUGCAGCCAGAUUGGAGAUUGGCCACUUGGUGGAUCAAAUUCUCAGCCACUAUUGCCUGCUCAGCGGGAAGUAAGGACAAGUGAACUGUCAACCAGUGUCACGGCAUCCUCACAGCCAGGGUCAGUUUCAAAUAAACAGCAAACGAAUAUUCAUGGACCUCGUGAAAAAAGAGCAGUUACAAUAACCACUAGCCCUAAUAUGUCAAAUGUUAAUUUUCCAUCCAAUGAUGCACCUGGUAGAACAAGAACAAUUACAAUAACGACUAGCCCUAAUAUGUCAAAUGUUGAUUUUCAAAUCAAUGAUCAACCUGGUGGAACAAUAACAGUAACAAUAACCAGUUGCCCUAAUAUGUCAAACGUUAAAUUUAUUUUCAAUGCUGGACCUGGUUCAACAAUAACAGCUACACUAACCAAUUGUCCUAAUAUGUCAAAAGUGACAUUUAUUUUCAAUGCUGCACCUGGUAGAACAAUAACAGUUACAUUAACGGAUCGCCCUAACAUGUCAAACGCUGAAUAUAUUUACAACUAAAUUUGUCACAAUCAUGUAAAUUUCUUGUUAUAGGUAACAUACUAAGAGCAUUUUUCGCAAAAUGCCCUUAGUAUAUUAUACAACGCAUAAUUGUUCGAAUCCGACUUGAAUCUACCGCGAUUAGACAUGGGUAGCGGGUAAAUACCUGAGGCAGAUAUUGGGUAUAUUUCGGGAAUUUACCCGGUACAUAUUUACCUUUUCUAUCCGAAUGAGUGGGUAUAAAUAAAAGUAGGACACGGAGUUAUAAAUUAAAUUGAAAUGAUGUAGAAAUAGCUUUACAUGACCAUUCAUGUAGUUUUAAAAACAUACAAUAUUUUGUAUAGUUACAAGUAAAAUUGACUAAAGGAAAUCGUCAAAUGUUUUAUAUAUUUACCAAUAGUCGCUAGGACACCCCGAAAUUCAAUAAAAGGCCGCAAAUGGUGUUAAAAGUAUGAAAAUCGAUACGAUUGAUCUUUGAAUUGAUGAAAAAUAAAGAAUAAACUAAAUGUACAAUGUUACAUAUGAAGAUAUUAAGUAUAAUUUGAGGUAUAUCUUACAUAAAAAAAUAUAUCGGUAUCGUACCUGGAGAAGCCCAAACUUGGUAUGUUUUGAAAAUUAUUUUUAUUUUAACUAAAUAAAGUGACUGGAAUGUAUUGAUGUGAUUUUAAGAAUCGGCUCUAAAAGCCCUUUCAUUUAAUAUAACACACGAUAGGUUUCUAGACAAAAAAAUAUACUUCCCAUACGAAAAAAAGAUGACGUCAUAACUCCUCUCCAUUUUUAGGGUUCCGUAGCCAAAUGGCAAAAAACGGAACCCUUAUAGAUUCGUCAUGUCCGUCUGUCUGUCCGAUUCUGUCACAGCCACUUUUUUUUUUGGUUCUACGGGUCAAAUUGAUCCAAAUUGCUUUUAGACCUUUAGGUCAAUCGUACUGAUGUAUGCUUUCAACACAUUUUGCAGCGGUUUUUGGCGUACCGCUAGAGUCAGACUAAGAUAAGUUGGCAGCGAUUUUUAUAGCCCAAACAGCGCAAGUGUUAUUUUAAACGUCAAACUUCUAUGAAAUUAUGACGUUUACUGUACAUUGUCUGACUCUAGCACAAUAUGAAAUACCGUUUUUACUACUUUACGUAAAUACUAUUUUUACUAUUAAGUAAAAUGAUUUUUCUUCUGAGAGAUUCUUCCGAGUCUUAUAUAUUAUAUACUUUUCUAUGCACUGACCUUAUCAGUUUUUGUUAAAGUAUCUGAAAUAUAUAGUAAGUAAAUAAAGUGACUAUAUGUUUGAUA